CCACGUCUUUUUUCAAAGAAAAACAUGCAUUUCAAGGCGCUAUGGAUUUCAAAGUACCAUGCGUAUUUACUCAGAACUUAUGGGUUUUAAAAAAGGCUUUAAAAGGAAAUAACUAAAAAACUUUUCCAGUAAUUUAAGAUGAUACCGGGGAAGGUUUUCCGGUUUAUCCCGGAGGGCUUGUAGCUCAGUUGGUUAGAGCGCGCGCUUGAUAAGCGUGAGGUCGGAGGUUCAAGUCCUCCCAGGCCCACCAAUUUAUGCUCGUUUUUUGCUUAUCCAAGAGUAUAAAGCUUAAGCGUAUUAAAGCCUCUUCAAUCUUUGUUUAUUUUUAAAGAUUUUAUUUAUCAUUCAGAGAUUGUUUGUUAAAUUUAUCCCAUUAAGCUUCCAAAGAGGCUUUGUCCCUUCAGUGGUACAGAUAAAUUUACAUGAUACAAAUCAAAACAGGACAGGUAAUUCAAGUUGAUGAAUUUGGUUAUGGUUGAUUUGAGAGAGCAUUAUUUAGGGGCCGUAGCUCAGCUGGGAGAGCACCUGCUUUGCAAGCAGGGGGUCGUCGGUUCGAUCCGCGUCCGGCUCCACCAUUUGGUCAUCAUCGUGUUGUGCAGAACACGGUUUAGUAAGGGGGGU
rnacentral:misc_RNA from 1 species